GAUAACGAACAGUAGCCGCACCAAAAACCACAAAACAGAGGCAGCCCCUUUGGGCUGCUCUCUUCUCCCAUCUCCUUCCUCCAUUUUCCUCUUUUCUUUAUAAUUUCUUUUGAGAUUUGAAGAACUACUCACACCACUACUAGAAUAAUGUCAUUAGACAUCGCCACUAUUAAAUCGGUCAGGAUUGCACCUGAUGUUAAAAAUCGUGCUAACAUCAGUUUGUGAAAUAACCGAUUUCUAUUGUUAUUAUGGACAUCAGUCACCAAAUAAGCCGAUAUGAAAAGUUUCGUUCGAAAAUUUUGUAAAAACGCGGAGGGACUAAGUUUGAAAUGUUUGAGAAACGCGGGGACUAAAAAUUUAAUCCCCCCACUUAGUUAUUUUUCCCACACGACUUGGAUCGACUUUGAGUCAUUCCCAAACCCUAGCUCAUUUUCACCCGAGCUCCUCGUCUUCCUCCUCCGCCUCUGAGCAACACCCUGCCCUUAUCACUCGCAACCCUUAUAACCUAGUCUCUGAGCUUCGGCUGCUCUGCCUCCUCAACACCACAACCCUUCAGCACUAGUCCUUCUCUCUCUCUCUCUCUCCCCUUCUUUCUGUUUUCUCUUGUUCCGAAUCUGAACAAGCCUCUGUUGAUUUCGUCAUCUAACAAUCUGUUUCUUCUAUAAAACUCUAAUUGCAGGCGUCGGAAAACCUCAUGAGGGAAAUCAAGGUCCAGAAGCUCGUCCUCAACAUCUCCGUCGGCGAGAGGGGCGAUCGUCUCACCAACUCCGCCAAGGUCUUGGAGCAACUCAGCGGCCAGACCCCUGUUUUCUCCAAAGGUGAGAUUGUUAGGGUUUCUCUGUUCAUUUUUGUUUUCUCCAACAUAUUUCUUCAACUUCCCGGCGACCAAGUUGAAGGGUCUGUUGCUGCCCCGGCCGCUGUCGUCAAAUUCUCUUAAACGGCUUGAGAUGCUUCUUGAGAACUCCGUCCAUUGAGCCUCUGAUUCCAGAGUCAAGCUAGAUACAAAAUGGAGCAACUUAUUUUUCCAUAGACAAGAGUUCUACUCCAUGAGAUGGGAAGCCAGCUUUGUUAAUUCAAGAUGAUGGCGGCAAAAUGGACCCAGAGGCUAUAAGGCGCUGUAUGAGCUUUGGAUUUACAUAUAAGAAAUCAAAAUUGACCAUUGGACAGUUCUUUCAGAUGGAAAUGAUUUCAAGACCAGCUCUAUGAGACUUGGAGCAGAUGUUAUGGUCUUCAGUCGCCACAGGACAAUGAGUUAGUCCAGUUGAAGUGUGAAGCAAGGCUGAAAGGAGGAUUCUGUGCUGAGCCAGAGUCUAAGCUUUUGUUUAUCAUUCGUAUCUGUGGUAUCAAUGCCAUUGAUCCAAAGACAAAGAAGAUCUUGCAGCUUUUGUGAUUGAGACAGAGCUUUGAUCAAAAGAAGAAUGGAAUGUUCCGACUAGCUGACUUCAUAUCCCUUUGUAUAUUUGUGCAGUCUGCUCGUAAUCUGUUCAAUUCAUUUGAUACAGCUAAGCAAGGCAGAGUGACUCUUGAUCUCAACCAAUUCAUCUAUUGCUCUGCCAAUUGCAGAAUAUAAACUGCUGCAAUGAUGGGUGCUGCGGAAUUCCGACAUUUCUAUUCAAGUUUUUUCUUUCUGGAUGUAUGACCAGCAGAGUAUGCAUCUGCUUCUUAAGAUGUAUCACCUAGAAUGGGAUACGGCAGUGUAAAAAAGCAAAAGCUUCAAAUGGAAAAGUUGUAUGCUUUAGUGUGUUAAAUUUUCUCUUAUUGAUGUUCCAGACACAUCUUUUACAUAAUAGAGGAAAUAUGUUACAAUAUAAUCUCUAACAGAUGAUGAUAUCAGAUAAAAUACCUCAAUAUUCAAAUCA